UAUAGGCGGCGGAGACAGGAAUGGAGCCAAGGCUACGGAGGCGGGAGGGGAAACCCAGCUGCA
rnacentral:sRNA from 1 species